CUACUGAAUAGAUACGUACGAAGAUGCAUUUGACACGGAGACAGCUAUUGGAUACGACGGUGACUUAGAAUCGGCAAUAGAACAGGAAGAGCUGAUUCAUGCGUUAGGUUUGCCUGAAAAGGUAGUUGCCGAAUUUAUAGGCGAAACAUCAGAAGGAAAGGAGUUUUCAUCAGCGUACUCACACUCUGUUGCCCAGUCGGUUGAUCAGGGCAUCGAUGUUCAUCUGGAAGUGCCUGCAGGUCAACGGGCGAUGAUUAACAUAUUCCUGGAAAAGGACAUCUACGUCGUCAAAUGGAGAGCACAGUUCUUUGCUGCUGGGUUCGCCACGAUCAAGUGGUGUAACCGGUGGGUAACUCUUCACCUAAGCCAGAUUCUGGACCAGCGAGAGCGCGACUUCUUUGCUUUCGGAACGAUAAAGUACCAUGAGCGCUACCAGUGGGUGAGCAUGGUGACACUCUACGACAGAGAAGGUCACAAACUCGGCGAUGCACCUGAGGAAAUUCUUACAUAGGACGCCCUAGCGCCUCUUCUCGCCCAAGGGAAACUCGUGGCGCCACCUCUCGCCCGAGGACGUUGAGGGCAGCGCCGUAAGUUUCGGGUUUACGAAUCUUGGACUCGGAGUCAAGACUCCAGAAUGGGGACGCCCAUGUCACCAGCUAAGCAACUCCAAUUCAAAGGAAAUGAUACUAUACUGCUCCAGGCCAGUUAUUAAAGAAAUGAAUUAUAUAUAUAUCGGAAUCUAUUUUCAUAUCUACUGAUCUGUGCAAUUCACAGUUGAUCUUAAUUACGUCUAUUAUUUAAUCUGUUCUUCAUUAGUGAAACGUCUCAUUUAUACUAGUUGUGGAUUUUAGUGUCUUCAAUACAUCCAAACACUGUUGGUAUCAAUUUAAUUCGCUUUAUGCUAUUAUUAUUAUUAUUCAAAUUCUAUAGUGGUUCGACAAGUAUUUAUCAACAAAACGCCAUAAACUUUAAUGUGCAAUCAUAUUAUGUCCCAAACACAAUUUUCGUUAACAAUAUUUAAAACAUGAAAAUGGUAUCAGUAAGGAGCACUUACAGCGAUUUUAAACACCCACAACGCGCUGUUGUUCUAAAAAAUAAAAUUAGUCAAUUAAGGGUUCUAGUAAGCGUCACAUGAAUCGAUGGCGUAAUUCAUGUUCAUAUAAACACGUUAAUUAUUCACACUUAUUUCCGCUUGUGAGGGCAACGUAGAGAUUGUUGUGGAGGUCGAGGUUAAAUUGACUACGUCACGAAGUUUCUAUGGUGUAUAUU